AGGUCCAAUAGCGUAUAUUAAAGUUGUUGCAGUUAAAAAGCUCGUAGUUGAAUUUGUGGCCUGGAUAGCUUGGUAUAACGCUUAUGCGUGAGUACCUGAGCCAUCCGACCAUCCUUGGGUGGAACUUGUGUGGCAUGAAGUUGUUGUGUAUGGGAUGCCCAUUGUUUACUGUGAAAAAAUUAGAGUGUUCAAAGCAGGCUUAUGCCUUUGAAUAUAUUGGCAUGGAAUAAUGAUAUAGGACUUUAGUACUAUUUUGUUGGUUUGUGCACUAAAGUGAUGAUUAAUAGGGACAGUUGGGGAUAUUAGUAUUCUUAGGUCAGAGGUGAAAUUCUUUGAUUCUUUAAAGACUGACUACUGCAAAAGCAUUUAUAAAGGAUGUUUUCA
rnacentral:rRNA from 1 species